AGAAAGAAAGAAAGAAAGAAAGAAACAAACAAACAAGGAAGACACGGAAAAGAGAACAAAUAUCUAACGAAUGUCUCUC
rnacentral:ribozyme from 1 species